ACUUCAUUCCUCACAGCAAACGGACAGCUCUUUUCACAGAUUUCCAUUUUCCUUUAAAGAUAAGGCUCCCUCCUCCCACCAAGCCACUAGAAGGGAGCUGACUGCCUAUCCCAAGAAAACAAAUCUCCCGUGUGAUCUUCCUAAUGUCGAAGCUACUCUACUGGAUAUAGGAAAGGAGAAGUGAUUACCCGCUGAUCACUCUGCAUCUAUCCCUUAGUGUCUUUUGAUCUACACCAAUUACUUCAGAAGAAGGCCCCCACUUUCUGGCCAUCAUGAGGCGAACAGACAUCUUCCACCACACACCUGCCAUAAGAGAAAUUGGAAACUUGUCAUCAUUAUGAGGGAAGGACAGGAGCCAAGAGUUGUAAAUCAAGUUCCCAUUCUUGUCUUUCUCUACCAGGAACCACUAAUAAGGGGAAAAUCUUUCAAAUUAGG